GAUGAACGCUGGCGGCGUGCCUAAUACAUGCAAGUCGAGCGAACAGACGAGGAGCUUGCUCCUCUGACGUUAGCGGCGGACGGGUGAGUAACACGUGGAUAACCUACCUAUAAGACUGGGAUAACUUCGGGAAACCGGAGCUAAUACCGGAUAAUAUAUUGAACCGCAUGGUUCAAUAGUGAAAGACGGUUUUGCUGUCACUUAUAGAUGGAUCCGCGCCGCAUUAGCUAGUUGGUAAGGUAACGGCUUACCAAGGCAACGAUGCAUAGCCGACCUGAGAGGGGGGAUCGGCACCAGGGGAGCGAGGACGCGGCCCCGCACCCAACGGGAGGCACAGGCGGGAAUCCUGCGGCAAGGGGCGAAGGCGGAAGGGGGAAACGCGGCGGGGGUGAGAAAGGUCUUGGGAUCGUAAACCCUGGUUUUUGGGGAAAAAAAAAUGUGUAAUAAACUGUCCCCUUCUGACGGUACCCUAAUAAAAAGCCCCGGCUAACUACGUG
rnacentral:rRNA from 1 species